UNGGUCGUGCCUGCCCACUGACAAAUUUUAACGGCCGCAGUACCCUGACUGUGCAAAGGUAGCAUAAUCAUUUGUCUUAUAAUUGAAGACUAGAAUGAACGGCCUAACGCGGGCGCAGCUGUCUCACAAAUGUAAUAAAAAAUUAAUUUACUGGUCAAAAAGCCAAUAUUCUAUUAUCAGACGAGAAGACCCUACUGAACUUGAUUGUUAAUUUUUAAUUUUAUAAAAACAAAAAUUUUGUUGGGGCGACAAAGGAACUACCGUAAUCUUCCUCUUACAGUCAAAUUCACAAAAUUUAUAACGAUCCAUUUUUAAUGAUCAAAUACUAAGUUACCAUAGGGAUAACAGCAUAAUUCUUUUCAAGAGCUCUUAUCGAAAAAAGAGUUUGUGACCUCGAUGUUGGACUAAGGUACAUUAAAAACGCAACCGUUUCUAAUUAUAGUCUGUUCGACUAGGAU
rnacentral:rRNA from 1 species